rnacentral:rRNA from 2 species
GCAACCCCAGGUCAGGCG